rnacentral:rRNA from 1 species
GAACGCUAGCGGCAGGCCCAAUACAUGCAAGUCGUACGGUAAGCGGUCCUCGGGACCGUGAGAGUGGCGACGGGUGCGUAACGCGUAUGCAACCAACCCCCCUCGCCCGGGAUAGCCGGUGGGAAAACGCCGGAUAAUACCGGAUGCGCCGCGUGGGAGGCAUCUCCCGAGCGGCAAGGCGGAGACGCGGAGGGGGACGGCAUGCGUCCCAUUAGAUAGUAGGCGGGGCACGGCCCACCUAGUCGACGAUGGGUAGGGGGAUCUGAGAGGACGGUCCCCCACACUGGUACUGAGACACGGACCAGACUCCUGCGGGAGGCAGCAGUAAGGGAUAUUGGGCAAUGGGGGGAACCCUGACCCAGCCAUUGCCGCGUGAGGGAAUGAGGCCCUACGGGUCGUGAACCUCUUUUAUUCGGGGACAAGGACGCGCACGGGAUGCGCGUUUGAGGGUACCGAAGGAAUAAGCGUCGGCUAACUCCGUGCCAGCCGCGGC